AGAUAAAUGAGAAAUCAACCAACUAGCAAUUCAAGAAACAAGUGAAACAUAAAUAAGAAAGGACUUGCCCCAGCUACUGGAACUGCUGUCAGCAUUGGUCUCCAGUCGUCAACUUCUUCAGGGAAUGCCUCAGGACAGCCCAUAUCAAAUGACUGACUGCAGCGGAAGUGGGGGCGGGUAUUGUAAAAAAGUCCCUCUGUUUCUAUCCAAAGCAGGACAAUUCUGGUAUUGAUAGAAGAGCUAGAGGAGCACUCCCUAAUAAACAAUGGCACACUAAACUCUCAGUCAGCCUCUUGGAGAGCCCAGGCAGUGACACACUCCAUCCAAUCUGUUUUGUGUAAUGGACAGUUUUAUCUUCUGGAGAAAUCAUUUUUGGUGUUUCACAAGCCUAGUAAAGUCCAACUGUUCUCUAUAGUCUGAUGAAUCAGCUAUAAAAUCUUUGGCCGGAGCUUCAAGGCUUAUUGUAAAUUUGCCAAAUAUUAA